AGAGCGAACGCUGGCGGCAUGCUUAACACAUGCAAGUCGCACGGGAGGGCAACCUUCAGUGGCGGACGGGUGAGUAACGCGUAGGUAUCUAUCUCCGGGUGGGGGACAACUGUGGGAAACUACAGCUAAUACCGCAUGACGCCCGAGGGCCAAAGCAGCGAUGCGCCUGGAGAGGAGCCUGCGUACGAUUAGCUAGUUGGCGGGGUAAUGGCCCACCAAGACGGUGAUCUGUA
rnacentral:rRNA from 1 species